rnacentral:rRNA from 1 species
GGAGCGCAGGCGGGAAGACAAGUUGGAAGUGAAAACCAUGGGCUCAACCCAUGAAUUGCUUUCAAAACUGUUUUUCUUGAGUAGUGCAGAGGUAGAUGGAAUUCCCGGCGUAGCGGUGGAAUGCGUAGAUAUCGGGAGGAACACCAGUGGCGAAGGCGGUCUACUGGGCACCAACUGACGCUGAGGCUCGAAAGCAUGGGUAGCAAACA